rnacentral:rRNA from 1 species
UACGUAGGGGGCAAGCGUUGUCCGGAUUCAUUGGGCGUAAAGAGCGUGUAGGCGGCCAGGUAGGUCGGUUGUGAAAACUGGAGGCUCAACCUUCAGAGGUCGACCGAAACCAUCUGGCUAGAGUCCGGGAGAGGAGAGUGGAAUUCCUGGUGUAGCGGUGAAAUGCGCAGAUAUCAGGAGGAACACCGGUGGCGAAGGCGGGUCUCUGGGCCGAUACUGACGCUGAGGCGCGAAAGCUAGGGGAGCAAACGGG